rnacentral:rRNA from 1 species
ACACCUACGGGACGCAGCAGUGAGGAAUAUUGGUCAAUGGGCGGAAGCCUGAACCAGCCAAGUCGCGUGAGGGAAUAAGGCCCUACGGGUCGUAAACCUCUUUUGCCGGGGAGCAAGGGCCGGGACGCGUCCCGGCCCGGAGAGUACCCGGAGAAAAAGCAUCGGCUAACUCCGUGCCAGCAGCCGCGGUAAUACGUAGGUGGCAAGCGUUAUCCGGAUUUACUGGGUGUAAAGGGCGAGUAGGCGGGACUGCAAGUCAGAUGUGAAAACUAUGGGCUCAACCGAUA